GUGAAUCAUCAAAUCUUUGAACGCAAAUUGCACUCUCUGGUAUUCCGGAGAGUAUGCCUAUUUGAGGGUCAUUUGAAAUAAUAUAAAUUCCAAGAUUUCCCGGAAUUUAAAAUGGGUUGUACAUUUUUUGUGGUCGCUUAAAAUCCAAGACAAGAUAAUUUUCUUGGGUUGCGUGAUACUUUUAGUUACUUCGUGACUUAAUCAGGAAUCAGCGGGCGUGUUAUGAAUUUUGCAAGA
rnacentral:misc_RNA from 1 species